rnacentral:rRNA from 1 species
GCGAUAAGGGAACCUCGAGUGCCAGGUUACAAAUCUGGCUGUCGAGAUGCCUAAAAAGCAUUUCAUAGCAAGGGCCGGGCAAGACCGGUGCCAGCCGCCGCGGUAACACCGGCGGCUCGAGUGGUAACCGUUAUUAUUGGGUCUAAAGGGUCUGUAGCCGGCCGGAUAAGUCUCUUGAGAAAUCUGGCAGCUUAACUGUCAGGCUUUCAGGAGAUACUGUCUGGCUCGAGGCCGGGAGAGGUGAGAGGUACUUCAGGGGUAGGGGUGAAAUCUUGUAAUCCUUGAAGGACCACCAGUGGCGAAGGCGUCUCACCAGAACGGACCUGACGGCAAGGGACGAAAGCUAGGGGCACGAACCGGAUUAGAUACCCGGGUAGUCCUAGCCGUAAACGAUACUCGCUAGGUGUCGGCCACGGUGCGACCGUUGUCGGUGCCGUAGGGAAGCCGUGAAGCGAGCCACCUGGGAAGUACGGCCGCAAGGCUGAAACUUAAGGAAUUG